rnacentral:rRNA from 1 species
GAUGAACGCUGGCGGCGUGCCUAAUACAUGCAAGUCGAGCGAAGAGACGAGGAGCUUGCUCCUCUGACGUUAGCGGCGGACGGGUGAGUAACACGUGGAUAACCUACCUAUAAGACUGGGAUAACUUCGGGAAACCGGAGCUAAUACCGGAUAAUAUCUUGAACCGCAUGGUUCAAUAGUGAAAGACGGUUUUGCUGUACCUAAUAGAUGGAUCCGCGCCGCUUUGGCUGGUUGGUAAGGUAACGGCCUACAAAGGCAUGGAUGCGUAGCCAACCUGAAGGGUGGUUCGGCCACACGGGACCUGAGACCGGGUCCAGCCCCCUCGGGAAGGCACCAGAAGGGAAUCUUCCGCAUGGGGCGAAAUCCUGACGGGCCAAGGCGGCGUGGGGGAGAAAGGUCUUCGGAUCGUAAAACUCUGUUAUUGGGGAAGACCAAAGGUGUAAGGAACUGUGCACGUAUUGACGGUAACUAAUCAGAAAGCCACGGCUAACUACGUG